GUCUUUUUGAAUUAAAUUUAAAGUCUAACCUGCCCACUGAAAAUUUUAAAUGGCCGCAGUAUUCUAACUGUGCAAAGGUAGCAUAAUCAUUAGUCUUUUAAUUGAAGGCUGGAAUGAAUGGUUGGACGAAAUAUUAACUGUUUCAUUUAAAUUUUUUAUAGAAUUUUAUUUUUUAGUAAAAAAGCUAAAAUAAAUUUAAAAGACGAGAAGACCCUAUAAAUCUUUAUAUUUUGUUUAUUUUAAUUAUAAAGAUUAUUUUUAUUAUAAUAAAUUAAAAUAUUUUAUUGGGGUGAUAUUAAAAUUUAAAAAACUUUUAAUUUUUAAAACCAUUAAUUUAUGAAUAAUUGAUCCAUUAGUAAUGAUUAAAAAUUUAAGUUACUUUAGGGAUAACAGCGUAAUUUUUUUGGAGAGUUCAUAUCGAUAAAAAAGAUUGCGACCUCGAUGUUGGAUUAAGAUAUAAUUUUGGGUGUAGCCGCUCAAAUUUUAAGUCUGUUCGACUUUUAAAUUCUU
rnacentral:rRNA from 1 species